rnacentral:rRNA from 1 species
GUAGGGAAUAUUGGGCAAUGGGCGCAAGCCUGACCCAGCAACGCCGCGUGAAGGAAGAAGGCUUUCGGGUUGUAAACUUCUUUUACCAGGGACGAAACAAAUGACGGUACCUGGUGAAUAAGCCACGGCUAACUACGUGCCAGCAGCCGCGGUAAUACGUAGGUGGCGAGCGUUAUCCGGAUUUAUUGGGUGUAAAGGGCGUGUAGGCGGGACAGCAAGUCAGAUGUGAAAACCAGAGGCUCAACCUCUGGCCUGCAUUUGAAACUGUUGUUCUUGAGUGUCGGAGAGGUAAUCGGAAUUCCGUGUGUAGCGGUGAAAUGCGUAGAGAUUGGGAGGAACACCAGUGGCGAAGGCGGAUUACUGGACGACAACUGACGCUGAUACACGAAAGCGUGGGGAGCAAACAGGAUUAGAAACCCGAGUAGUCC